GACGAACGCUGGCGGCGUGCCUAAUACAUGCAAGUUGAGCGCUGAAGGUUGGUACUUGUACCAACUGGAUGAGCAGCGCACGGGUGAGUAACGCGUGGGGAAUCUGCCUUUGAGCGGGGGACAACAUUUGGAAACGAAUGCUAAUACCGCAUAAAAACUUUAAACACAAGUUUUAAGUUUGAAAGAUGCAAUUGCAUCACUCAAAGAUGAUCCCGCGUUGUAUUAGCUAGUUGGUGAGGUAAAGGCUCACCAAGGCGAUGAUACAUAGCCGACCUGAGAGGGUGAGCGGCCACAUUGGGACUGAGACACGGCCCAAACUCCUACGGGAGGCAGCAGUAGGGAAUCUUCGGCAAUGGACGAAAGUCUGACCGAGCAACGCCGCGUGAGUGAAGAAGGUUGUCGGAUCGUAAAACUCUGUUGGUAGAGAAGAACGUUGGUGAGAGUGGAAAGCUCAUCAAGUGACGGUAACUACCCAGAAAGGGACGGCUAACUACGUG
rnacentral:rRNA from 1 species